GUCCCCGUAGCUCAACGGAUAGAGCGGCUGCCUUCUAAGCAGUAGGUUGGAGGUUCGAUUCCUCCCCGGGAUGCCA
rnacentral:tRNA from 1 species